rnacentral:rRNA from 1 species
CGGCAACAGCUCAAAUUUGAAAUCUGGCCUCUUUGGGGUCCGAGUUGUAAUUUGUAGAGGGUGCUUUGGCGUCGGGCGUGGUCUAAGUUCCUUGGAACAGGACGUCAUGGAGGGUGAGAAUCCCGUACGUGGCCGCCGGCCUUCGCCGUGUAAAGCCCCUUCGAC